rnacentral:rRNA from 1 species
AGAGUUUGAUCAUGGCUCAGAACGAACGCUGGCGGGAUGUUUGAUACAUGCAAGUCGAGCGGGUAGGCUCCUUCGGGAGUACACGAGCGGUGGAUUGCUGAGUAACGCGUAUUAACGUACCCCAAACUGAGGGAUAAGCUCCAGAAAUGGUGUCUGAUACCGCAUGUGCUCUAAGGAGUAAAGCUUCGGCGGCUUGAGAACGGCCUGCGUUCGAUUAGCUUGCUGGUGAGGUAAUGGCUCACCAGGGCGACAAUCGGUAGCUGGUCUGAGAGGAUGAUCAGCCAGACUGGGACUGAGAUCGGCCCAGACUCUCUACGGGAGGCAGCAGUAGGGAAUUUUCCACAAUGGGCGAAAGUCUGAUGGAGUAUCGCCGCGUGCAGGAUGAAUGCCUUCGGGUUGUAAACUGCUUUUAUCUGUCACGAAUAUGACGGUUGCAGAUGAAUAAGCUUCGGCUAACUCCGUGCCAGCAGCCGCGGUCAUACGGAGGAAGCAAGCGUUAUCCGGAUUUACUGGGGGUAAAGCGUGGCGUAGGUGGCAAAGUGUGUCAGUAGUGAAAGCGUGUGGCUCAUCCAUAUACACAUUGCUGAAACUGCUCAUUUAGAGGACGAGAGAGGUUAUUGGAAUUCCCAGUGUAGGAGUGAAGUCCGUAUAUAUCGGGAGGAACUCCGAUGUAGUAGGCCGAUAACUGGUUUGUUCCUGACACUAAGUCUCGAAAGCGUGGGGAGCAUUCGUGAUUAGAUACCCUCGUAGUCC